AUGGCGGUGGACAUCACACUGCUGUUCAGGGCCAGCGUCAAGACCGUGAAGACGCGCAACAAAGCACUGGGAGUGGCAGUGGGCGGCGGGGUGGAGGGCAGCCGCGACGAGCUGUUUCGCCGGAGCCCCAGGCCCAAGGGCGACUUCUCCAGCCGAGCGCGCGAAGUGAUUUCACACAUUGGCAAGCUGAGAGAUUUUCUUCUGGAACAUAGAAAAGAUUAUAUUAAUGCUUAUAGUCAUGUCAUGUCUGAAUACGGGAGAAUGACGGACACAGAACGAGACCAGAUAGACCAAGACGCUCAGACGUUCAUGAGGACCUGCUCAGAAGCGAUCCAGCAGCUGAGAACACAAGCCCACAAGGAGAUACACUCUCAGCAAGUGAAGGAGCACAGGACUGCCGUUUUGGAUUUCAUUGAAGAUUACUUAAAAAGAGUGUGUAAACUUUACUCAGAACAAAGAGCCAUCCGAGUCAAGCGAGUGGUGGACAAGAAAAGAUUGUCUAAGCUGGAACCAGAACCAAACGCAAAGACAAGAGAAUCCAUGUCUUCUGAGAAAGUUUCACAGAGUCCAUCAAAAGACUCUGAAGAAAAACCUAUCCCUGAAGAAUAUCCAGAAAAGGUUCCAGUCGAAGCACAACCUGAAUUGGGAAGCUGGGGAGAUGGCAAAGGUGAAGAUGAAUUAUCCCCAGAGGAAAUACAAAUGUUUGAACAAGAAAAUCAGCGCCUGAUUGGUGAAAUGAACAGCCUGUUUGAUGAAGUGAGACGCACACCCGCUAGACCACCCCAGGGUCACCCGUGCUGCCCAGGCAACCAGGAGAGGCCCACAUGCUCUGGUGCUGAACCCAGAUGGGAUAUUUUCAGCCGGAAUCAAAGGAGGUUUCCCUUCCACAGAGUUGGUUUGAAUGGCAAAUUGAAGGGAAAGUGGUUGAAAUCUCCAGACUCCAAGAGAUCUUCACAGAGAAGGUUUUACAGCAAGAAGCCGAGAUUGACAGUAUUCACCAGUUAGUAGUUGGAGCAACUGAAAAUAUCAAGGAGGGCAAUGAAGACAUAAGAG
rnacentral:lncRNA from 1 species